rnacentral:rRNA from 1 species
CCCUUAGAUGUUCUGGGCCGCACGCGCGCUACACUGAUGCAUUCAACGAGCCUAUCCUUGACCGACAGGUCCGGGUAAUCUUUGAAUCUGCAUCGUGACGGGGAUAGAUUAUUGCAAUUAUUAAUCUUCAACGAGGAAUGCCUAGUAGGCGCAAGUCAUCAGCUUGCGUCGAUUACGUCCCUGCCCUUUGUACACACCGCCCGUCGCUCCUACCGAUUGGGUGUGCUGGUGAAAUGUUCGGAUCGGCCGUUUGUCGCGGUUUCCGCGUCAUGUGGCUGAGAAGUUUAUUAAACCCUCCCACCUAGAGGAAGGAGAAGUCGUAACA